AGACCCGAAACCCGGUGAUCUAGCCAUGGGCAGGUUGAAGGUUGGGUAACACUAACUGGAGGACCGAACCGACUAAUGUUGAAAAAUUAGCGGAUGACCUGUGGCUGGGGGUGAAAGGCCAAUCAAACCGGGAGAUAGCUGGUUCUCCCCGAAAGCUAUUUAGGUAGCGCCUCGUGAAUUCAUCUCCGGGGGUAGAGCACUGUUUCGGCUAGGGGGCCAUCCCGGCUUACCAACCCGAUGCAAACUGCGAAUACCGGAGAAUGUUAUCACGGGAGACACACGGCGGGUGCUAACGUCCGUCGUGAAGAGGGAAACAACCCAGACCGCCAGCUAAGGUCCCAAAGUCAUGGUUAAGUGGGAAACGAUGUGGGAAGGCCCAGACAGCCAGGAUGUUGGCUUAGAAGCAGCCAUCAUUUAAAGAAAGCGUAAUAGCUCACUGGUCGAGUCGGCCUGCGCGGAAGAUGUAACGGGGCUAAACCAUGCACCGAAGCUGCGGCAGCGAACGUAUCACCCAAGACAACUUUACGGAGUUGACGAUUGACGGAGCGAAGCGACGUCAAAGCGUUCAUUAAAGUCGAGUUGGCUUAGGGAUACGUUCGUUGGGUAGGGGAGCGUUCUGUAAGCCUGUGAAGGUGUGUCGUGAGGCAUGCUGGAGGUAUCAGAAGUGCGAAUGCUGACAUAAGUAACGAUAAAGCGGGUGAAAAGCCCGCUCGCCGGAAGACCAAGGGUUCCUGUCCAACGUUAAUCGGGGCAGGGUGAGUCGACCCCUAAGGCGAGGCCGAAAGGCGUAGUCGAUGGGAAACGGGUUAAUAUUCCCGUACUUGGUGUUACUGCGAAGGGGGGACGGAGAAGGCUAUGUUGGCCGGGCGACGGUUGUCCCGGUUUAAGCGUGUAGGUGUGUGUUCCAGGUAAAUCCGGUUCACUUUAACACUGAGGCGUGACGACGAGGCACUACGGUGCUGAAGCAACAAAUGCCCUGCUUCCAGGAAAAGCCUCUAAGCAUCAGGUAACAUCAAAUCGUACCCCAAACCGACACAGGUGGUCAGGUAGAGAAUACCAAGGCGCUUGAGAGAACUCGGGUGAAGGAACUAGGCAAAAUGGUGCCGUAACUUCGGGAGAAGGCACGCUGACACGUAGGUGAAGUGAUUUACUCAUGGAGCUGAAGUCAGUCGAAGAUACCAGCUGGCUGCAACUGUUUAUUAAAAACACAGCACUGUGCAAACACGAAAGUGGACGUAUACGGUGUGACGCCUGCCCGGUGCCGGAAGGUUAAUUGAUGGGGUCAGCGCAAGCGAAGCUCCUGAUCGAAGCCCCGGUAAACGGCGGCCGUAACUAUAACGGUCCUAAGGUAGCGAAAUUCCUUGUCGGGUAAGUUCCGACCUGCACGAAUGGCGUAAUGAUGGCCAGGCUGUCUCCACCCGAGACUCAGUGAAAUUGAACUCGCUGUGAAGAUGCAGUGUACCCGCGGCAAGACGGAAAGACCCCGUGAACCUUUACUAUAGCUUGACACUGAACAUUGAGCCUUGAUGUGUAGGAUAGGUGGGAGGCUUUGAAGUGUGGACGCCAGUCUGCAUGGAGCCGACCUUGAAAUACCACCCUUUAAUGUUUGAUGUUCUAACGUGGACCCGUUACCCGGGUUGCGGACAGUGUCUGGUGGGUAGUUUGACUGGGGCGGUCUCCUCCUAAAGAGUAACGGAGGAGCACGAAGGUUGGCUAAUCCUGGUCGGACAUCAGGAGGUUAGUGCAAUGGCAUAAGCCAGCUUGACUGCGAGCGUGACGGCGCGAGCAGGUGCGAAAGCAGGUCAUAGUGAUCCGGUGGUUCUGAAUGGAAGGGCCAUCGCUCAACGGAUAAAAGGUACUCCGGGGAUAACAGGCUGAUACCGCCCAAGAGUUCAUAUCGACGGCGGUGUUUGGCACCUCGAUGUCGGCUCAUCACAUCCUGGGGCUGAAGUAGGUCCCAAGGGUAUGGCUGUUCGCCAUUUAAAGUGGUACGCGAGCUGGGUUUAGAACGUCGUGAGACAGUUCGGUCCCUAUCUGCCGUGGGCGCUGGAGAACUGAGGGGGGCUGCUCCUAGUACGAGAGGACCGGAGUGGACGCAUCACUGGUGUUCGGGUUGUCAUGCCAAUGGCACUGCCCGGUAGCUAAAUGCGGAAGAGAUAAGUGCUGAAAGCAUCUAAGCACGAAACUUGCCCCGAGAUGAGUUCUCCCUGAGACUUAGAGUCUCCUGAAGGAACGUUGAAGACGACGACGUUGAUAGGCCGGGUGUGUAAGCGCAGCGAUGCGUUGAGCUAACCGGUACUAAUGAACCGUGAGGCUUAACCUU
rnacentral:rRNA from 1 species